ACGCGUGCUAAUACAUGCAGUCGAGCGAAUGAUAGAGCUUGCUCUUAUGAAGUUAGCGGCGGACGGGUGAGUAACACGUGGGUAACCUGCCCAUAAGACUGGGAUAACUCCGGGAAAACCGGGGCUAAUACCGGAUAAACAUUUUGAACCGCAUGGUCGAAAUUGAAAGGCGGCUUCGGCUGUCAACUUAUGGAUGGACCCGCGUCGCAUCUAGCUAGUUGGUGAGGUAACGGCUCACCAAGGCAACGAUGCGUAGCCGACCUGAGAGGGUGAUCGGCCACACUGGGACUGAGACACGGCCCAGACUCCUACGGGAGGCAGCAGUAGGGAAUCUNCCGCAAUUGGACGAAAGUCUGACGGAGCAACGCCGCGUGAGUGAUGAAGGCUUC
rnacentral:rRNA from 1 species